rnacentral:rRNA from 1 species
UAGCGCAAGCGAAGCUCUUGAUCGAAGCCCCGGUAAACGGCGGCCGUAACUAUAACGGUCCUAAGGUAGCGAAAUUCCUUGUCGGGUAAGUUCCGACCUGCACGAAUGGCGUAACGAUGGCGGCGCUGUCUCCACCCGAGACUCAGUGAAAUUGAAAUCGCUGUGAAGAUGCAGUGUAUCCGCGGCUAGACGGAAAGACCCCGUGAACCUUUACUGUAGCUUUGCACUGGACUUUGAGCCUGCUUGUGUAGGAUAGGUGGGAGGCUUUGAAGCGUGGACGCCAGUUCGCGUGGAGCCAUCCUUGAAAUACCACCCUGGCAUGCUUGAGGUUCUAACUCUGGUCCGUGAUCCGGAUCGAGGACAGUGUAUGGUGGGCAGUUUGACUGGGGCGGUCUCCUCCUAAAGAGUAACGGAGGAGUACGAAGGUGCGCUCAGACCGGUCGGAAAUCGGUCGCAGAGUAUAAAGGCAAAAGCGCGCUUGACUGCGAGACAGACACGUCGAGCAGGUACGAAAGUAGGUCUUAGUGAUCCGGUGGUUCUGUAUGGAAGGGCCAUCGCUCAACGGAUAAAAGGUACUCCGGGGAUAACAGGCUGAUACCGCCCAAGAGUUCAUAUCGACGGCGGUGUUUGGCACCUCGAUGUCGGCUCAUCACAUCCUGGGGCUGAAGCCGGUCCCAAGGGUAUGGCUGUUCGCCAUUUAAAGUGGUACGCGAGCUGGGUUUAGAACGUCGUGAGACAGUUCGGUCCCUAUCUGCCGUGGACGUUUGAGAUUUGAGAGGGGCUGCUCCUAGUACGAGAGGACCGGAGUGGACGAACCUCUGGUGUUCCGGUUGUCACGCCAGUGGCAUUGCCGGGUAGCUAUGUUCGGAAAAGAUAACCGCUGAAAGCAUCUAAGCGGGAAACUUGCCUCAAGAUGAGAUCUCACUGGGAACUUGAUUCCCCUGAAGGGCCGUCGAAGACUACGACGUUGAUAGGCUGGGUGUGUAAGCGUUGUGAGGCGUUGAGCUAACCAGUACUAAUUGCCCGUGAGGCUUGACCAUAUAACACCCAAACA